GGAAUAUUGCACAAUGGGGGAAACCCUGAUGCAGCGACGCCGCGUGAGUGAAGAAGUAUUUCGGUAUGUAAAGCUCUAUCAGCAGGGAAGAAAAUGACGGUACCUGAUUAAGAAGCCCCGGCUAACUACGUGCCAGCCGCCGCGGUAAUACGUAGGGGGCAAGCGUUAUCCGGAUUUACUGGGUGUAAAGGGAGCGUAGACGGCAGCACAAGUCUGGAGUGAAAUGCCGGGGCUUAACCCCGGAACUGCUUUGGAAACUAUGUGACUGGAGUGCAGGAGAGGUGAGCGGAAUUCCUAGUGUAGCGGUGAAAUGCGUAGAUAUUAGGAGGAACACCAGUGGCGAAGGCGGCUCACUGGACUGUAACUGACGUUGAGGCUCGAAAGCGUGGGGAGCAAACAG
rnacentral:rRNA from 1 species